UUUCUAUUCAGGGGAAAAGAGAGGGUUUUUCUGGUGGCUCAGAUGGUAAAGAAUUUGCCUUCAAUGCAGGAAACCUGGGUUCAAUCUCCAGAUUGGGAAGAUCCCCUGGAGAAGGGAGGGGAAAGAGAAACUUCUACAGCUGGAUGAAGCUGUGGAUAUGUUCUAGAUUCUGGGCCAUCCUGACUCCCUGAGCAGCCCAAAUAGUUAUUUGGUAGGUAGACAGGCUGUGAGGGGAGGUGGAGAGGUCCAUACAUAACGAAGAAAAAUGGAAUUAAGAACUAGAAGUCUCCUUCAUUGGGGCCACUGGAGUGAAUCAAGAAAACAUCCAAAAAUCCUCGGCUCCUCUGUCCAUGGAUUUCUCCAGGCAAGAAUACCAGAGUGGGUUGCCAUUUCCUUCUCCAGGGGAUCUUCGCAACCCAGGGAUUGAACCUGUGUCUUCUGCAUCUCCCACAUUG
ensembl:lncRNA